rnacentral:rRNA from 1 species
UACGAGGGGGGCAAGCGUUGUUCGGAAUUAUUGGGCGUAAAGGGCGCGUAGGCGGUUUGACAAGUCUGAUGUGAAAUCUAUGGGCUCAACCCAUAGCCUGCAUUAGAAACUGUCGGGCUUGAGUAUGGGAGAGGUGAGUGGAAUUUCCGGUGUAGCGGUGAAAUGCGUAGAUAUCGGAAGGAACACCUGUGGCGAAAAGCGGCUCACUGGACCUAACUGACGCUGAGGCGCGAAAAGCUAGGGGAGCAAACAGGG